AGAGUUCGAUCCUGGCUCAGGACGAACGCUGGCGGCGCGCCUAACACAUGCAAGUCGAACGAGCGAGAGAGAGCUUGCUUUCUCGAGCGAGUGGCGAACGGGUGAGUAACGCGUGAGGAACCUGCCUCAAAGAGGGGACAACAGUUGGAAACGACUGCUAUUACCGCAUAAGCCCACAGCUCGGCAUCGAGCAGAGGGAAAAGGAGCAAUCCGCUUUGAGAUGGCCUCGCGUCCGAUUAGCUGGUUGGUGAGGUAACGGCCCACCAAGGCGACGAUCGGUAGCCGGACUGAGAGGUUGAACGGCCACAUUGGGACUGAGACACGGCCCAGACUCCUACGGGAGGCAGCAGUGGGGAAUAUUGCACAAUGGGGGAAACCCUGAUGCAGCGACGCCGCGUGGAGGAAGAAGGUCUUCGGAUUGUAAACUCCUGUUGUUGAGGAAGAUAAUGACGGUACUCAACAAGGAAGUGAUGGCUAACUACGUGCCAGCAGCCGCGGUAAAACGUAGGUCACAAGCGUUGUCCGGAAUUACUGGGUGUAAAGGGAGCGCAGGCGGGAAGGCAAGUUGGAAGUGAAAUCCAUGGGCUCAACCCAUGAACUGCUUUCAAAACUGUUUUUCUUGAGUAGUGCAGAGGUAGGCGGAAUUCCCGGUGUAGCGGUGGAAUGCGUAGAUAUCGGGAGGAACACCAGUGGCGAAGGCGGCCUACUGGGCACCAACUGACGCUGAGGCUCGAAAGUGUGGGUAGCAAACAGGAUUAGAUACCCUGGUAGUCCACACUGUAAACGAUGAUUACUAGGUGUUGGAGGAUUGACCCCUUCAGUGCCGCAGCUAACACAAUAAGUAAUCCACCUGGGGAGUACGACCGCAAGGUUGAAACUCAAAGGAAUUGACGGGGGCCCGCACAAGCAGUGGAGUAUGUGGUUUAAUUCGACGCAACGCGAAGAACCUUACCAAGUCUUGACAUCCUGCGACGCGCAUAGAAAUAUGUGUUUCCUUCGGGACGCAGAGACAGGUGGUGCAUGGUUGUCGUCAGCUCGUGUCGUGAGAUGUUGGGUUAAGUCCCGCAACGAGCGCAACCCUUAUGGUCAGUUACUACGCAAGAGGACUCUGGCCAGACUGCCGUUGACAAAACGGAGGAAGGUGGGGAUGACGUCAAAUCAUCAUGCCCUUUAUGACUUGGGCUACACACGUACUACAAUGGCGUUAAACAAAGAGAAGCGAGACCGCGAGGUGGAGCAAAACUCAGAAACAACGUCCCAGUUCGGACUGCAGGCUGCAACUCGCCUGCACGAAGUCGGAAUUGCUAGUAAUCGCAGAUCAGCAUGCUGCGGUGAAUACGUUCNCCGGGCCAAAUACACACCGCCCGUCAAGGGCGAAUUCUUUUAAACAUAACAC
rnacentral:rRNA from 1 species